UACGGGGGGAGCAAGCGUUGUUCGGAUUUACUGGGCGUAAAGGGCGCGUAGGCGGCCACCGCAAGUCAGUUGUGAAAUCUCUGGGCUUAACCCAGAAAGGUCAACUGAUACUGCGGGGCUAGAGUGCAGAAGGGGCAACUGGAAUUCUCGGUGUAGCGGUGAAAUGCGUAGAUAUCGGGAAGAACACCCGUGGCGAAGGCGGUUCUCUGGGACGGUACUGACGCUGAGACGCGAAAGCGUGGGGAGCGAACAGG
rnacentral:rRNA from 1 species